ACGGGUGAGUAACACGUGGGAAACUACCCUUUGGUGCGGAAUAACACAGAGAAAUUUGUGCUAAUACCGCAUGAGCUCUUCGGAGGAAAGAUUUAUCGCCAAAGGAUGUGCCCGCGUCCGAUUAGCUAGUUGGUGAGGUAAUGGCUCACCAAGGCGACGAUCGGUAGCUGGUCUGAGAGGAUGAUCAGCCACACUGGGACUGAGACACGGCCCAGACUCCUACGGGAGGCAGCAGUGGGGAAUAUUGGACAAUGGGCGCAAGCCUGAUCCAGCCAUGCCGCGUGAGUGAUGAAGGCCUUAGGGUUGUAAAGCUCUUUCGCCCGCGAGGAUAAUGACGGUAGCGGGAUAAGAAGCCCCGGCUAACUUCGUGCCAGCAGCCGCGGUAAUACGAAGGGGGCUAGCGUUGUUCGGAAUCACUGGGCGUAAAGCGCACGUAGGCGGACUUUUAAGUCAGAGGUGAAAGCCUGGAGCUCAACUUCAGAACUGCCUUUGAUACUGGAAGUCUUGAGUCCGGUAGAGGUGAGUGGAACUGCUAGU
rnacentral:rRNA from 1 species